ACGACAUUCCCUGGCCCCAUAUAUAUGGGACAACCCCAUCCGAAAUCUGCCUCAUAUAUAGGCAACCAGUUCCAUGGAACAACAACAAGGUUUGGGCAUCGAAAAGUAUGCGGUCCUCUAACCAAGGUGUUUAAAUCAGGCACUUUUUCAAUGUAAUCAAUAGCUGAUCUUAAAUAUUCAUCAUUUAUCUGAUUUAAUCGUUCAUGGAUCCUCUUUAUGGUGUCAGUAAAUGAUUCGGUUUCGAGAUCACCAGCUUGAGCAAUUAGUGCAGUCGUAAAGAUUACAUUGCCGAAGUAGCCUGGUGGGAGCGGAGGAUCCAAUCUAUAUCGACCGUCAACUGGAAAAUACAGCUUGGUAUCUUGAUCAGCUGGAAGACCCCUUGCUUUACUUACACAGCGCCAUAUAUGUGCAGCCAAGAUGUUGAAGCUGCUAUAUUUUACACCACCGUUUGCAUUUGCAACUUUUGCUUUGGCUUUCAGGGUAUUCAAUUGAUCAGCUGUGAGCUCUAAG
rnacentral:lncRNA from 1 species